AGUCCCAGCACCUAUGGGAGUCCCAGGGAACAACUGGAAAGACAAACAUGAGCCACGUGUUACCCAGUGGGUGCCUAACUGCCCACAGAGCCCCUGGCAUCCUCCAUCCUCCUUAGCAGCUCAGCUCCAAUGAGUUGCCAGCCCCCAGCCAGGCUCCUGGCAGCGAGGAGAAAGCCAAAGCCGAGAAUGC